rfam:Methyloceanibacter caenitepidi DNA, complete genome, strain: Gela4.
GCCGGCUUAGCUCAGUUGGUAGAGCGGCUGAUUUGUAAUCAGUAGGUCGCGGGUUCGACUCCUGCAGCCGGCA